rnacentral:lncRNA from 8 species
GGCUGGAAUGGAAUUUAUGGAACGGUAUCAAACACAGCAAAUAUUUGGAAACCACAUUUGACUCCAUUCCAUUUAUUCCAUUCCAGCCAUUACAAUGAGCCCAUCCUCCUAUAGCUCAUCACACCAGCCUCCUCUGGUGGCCAUACAAUUCCAUGUCAUUUGGGAAACCUCAUUAUGAGGCAUGUGUGGGGCACGGAACCUUAUCCUUGACCUCAGGGGGUUGUGCACCAUCAGCCAGUCACCCCUUUGAAGCCUCAGUGAGUUUUCCAUAAUUUUUCUCUCAUUAAACCAAUGAGAGAAAAAUGUCAUUUUCUGUUCACACCGCAUGUAAGCUACUGUUAAAAGUAACAUGUAUGACUGAACAGAGGCAGAUUCAGAAAAGCAAGCGCUGUAGUUUGAAAUGAUGACAAGGGAUGGACAGGCUCUUUCUCAAAAAUCAAAAAUGUUCUGAAAGGUGAUGUACUUUCUACAUUUUUUUGUAAUGCUUCAAAGCCUUACACAUCAACUUUGAAUCAUGAGGCUGAGGCUCGAAUUUUGACCAAUGGUAAUAAUAUGAAGAUAGAAUAGAUUAAUUGCUACUGUUUCAGGGUGUGUUUCCUGUAACAUGAGCAGGAAAUGAAAAUGGAGUGCAAAUGCUGAAUAAUUUAUCAGAAUACUACAUAUUUGGUUGGACCAUGAGUUAAUUAUCUGCUCUUUCACAGCCCCCUUGAUACCUACCUCACAGAACCUUCAUAGAGGGGAGGUUUCAGUAACUUGGUUAUUCCCAAAAGACCCGUUAUUAUGAGCUGAAAAGGCAGACAGCAGGAUAAUGCAAUGGUAUGCAAUACCUCAAAUCAACUAUGACGAGGAUCAUAGAUUCAGAAGACUGACGCUGUACACUCCUAUAACAGAUGGUCUUUCUAUUAACUCCAUUGUUGUGAUAACAGAGACUUGAGGAUGACUGUUAUCAAUGGGGUUAAAAAGGUGCAGAUCAUCUCCACAGAGAAAACAGCCUUGGUGAAGGUACCUUACGAUACAGAGGUAAGCACCUGUUGAUUUCAUUGUGCAAUGGUAGGCCAUUACCAUUUAUAUUUAUACUUUUGUCAAUGUAGGGUACUCAUAUUACAAUGUGGGCUGGAUAUACUUUGAUGAACGUGUUCGAUUAUUGGACCUGGUUACUUUACAGUGAAUAUCUUUCAACUUAGAUCUUGCAAUCCCUUCCAUUAUAGUGCAGUAGCUAAAGGGUGCAUAAGUAAUGUAUGCUUUAUUGAAUGAGUGUCAAAUAAAUCAAUGUGACAAAGGGUAAGCUGAAGAAAUUCAUUACACAAUAUUUCUGUGGUACUGUCAGGAUCCGGAAAACAACACCUACACUGUGUUGAUAGAAGAGAGUCAAUGAUGAGGGACAAGGCUUGCAUUCCUGUGUAAUAAGAUAAUUGUUUGGUAUUAAAGCUGAAAUAAUGAAUGUAGUGUACAUACCGGACAUAUUUGACUGGUUAGUAUAGGAUACAACUGUAACAAAAGCUGAUAUGGGCGUGGAAACAUUUGGCCUAAACUUACUGUGACUCAUGCGUAAGAGCUCUGCCAGUCACAAUUCCACUCUGACGUACCAGUCAGUUUGAACUGUAUCUGCUGGUCACUGUGCAUCAUCCAUAAAACUAAAGGGGGUCUCAUAUCAUAGAGGGCAGAAUCUUCCUCAGAGCAGAUUUGUUUUGUCUCUGCUGGUUGCCCCAGAGUAAACUCCUGCUCUCUCCUGCCAAUAUGUUGCAGACAGUAAUCUUGUCUGGCAUGGAGAUUGAAGGCUGCUACUGAAUGACCAGCUGCAUUGUCAGGUCACAGAGCCUGUAAAUAUACAGAGUUUGUAAGUUGACCUUCAUAGAAAUAGACCUAUCAACUUAAUAUCUUAUUUCAUUCAUAUAUCAAAACUGCUGAACUCCAUGACUAUGCUAUAAAACACAAUCACUAAAUUACUAUUACAUAUAUUCCAAAACACUAUAUCCAUUUUCAGAAAUGUUGGUAAAUGAGCUUUUAUUGUUUGAAGAAAGUGUGUUUUUUCACUAUAUAAUCAUAUUGUUUUAAAAAAUAUAUUUUUAUAUAACUAGGCAAGUCAGUUAAGAACAAAUUGUUAUUUUCAAUGAUGGCCUAGGAACAGUGGGUUAACUGCCUUGUUCAGGGGCAGAACGACAGAUUUUUACCUUGUCAGCUCGGGGAUUUGAUCUUGCAACCUUUCAGUUACUAGUUCAACACUCUAACCACUAGGCUACGCUGCCACCCCGGACAUAUUUGUUUAAAAUCUCUCUCUUACUUGGUUUAAUUUCAGAGUGACAAAUAAUCAUGUUUUCUUGCAAAAUGUCUCUCAGAGAAAUAAGUAGUACUGCUAGGUUUUACACAGUCAAAUGUAACAAAUAACUACAUUUUAAACAGUCAAAUGUAAAAAAUGUGAAUUUAAUAUUUGUUA